AGCGAACGCUGGCGGCAGGCUUAACACAUGCAAGUCGAACGGGCGUAGCAAUACGUCAGUGGCAGACGGGUGAGUAACGCGUGGGAACGUACCUUUUGGUUCGGAACAACACAGGGAAACUUGUGCUAAUACCGGAUAAGCCCUUACGGGGAAAGAUUUAUUGCCAAAAGAUCGGCCCGCGUCUGAUUAGCUAGUUGGUGAGGUAACGGCUCACCAAGGCGACGAUCAGUAGCUGGUCUGAGAGGAUGAUCAGCCACAUUGGGACUGAGGCACGGCCCAAACUCCUACGGGAGGCAGCAGUGGGGAAUAUUGGACAAUGGGCGAAAGCCUGAUCCAGCCAUGCCGCGUGAGUGAUGAAGGCCCUAGGGUUGUAAAGCUCUUUUGUGCGGGAAGAUAAUGACGGUACCGCAAGAAUAAGCCCCCGG
rnacentral:rRNA from 1 species